CCUACGGGUGGCUGCAGUCGAGAAUCAUUCACAAUGGGGGAAACCCUGAUGGUGCGACGCCGCGUGGGGGAAUGAAGGUCUUCGGAUUGUAAACCCCUGUCAUGUGGGAGCAAAUUAAAAAGAUAGUACCACAAGAGGAAGAGACGGCUAACUCUGUGCCAGCAGCCGCGGUAAUACAGAGGUCUCAAGCGUUGUUCGGAAUCACUGGGCGUAAAGCGUGCGUAGGCUGUUUCGUAAGUCGUGUGUGAAAGGCGCGGGCUCAACCGGCGGACGGCACAUGAUACUGGGAGACUAGAGUAAGGGAGGGGGAACCGGAAUUCUCGGUGUAGCAGUGAAAUGCGUAGAUAUCGAGAGGAACACUCGUGGCGAAGGCGGGUUCCUGGACAGUAACUGACGCUGAGGCACGAAGGCCAGGGGAGCGAAAGGGAUUAGAUACCCUAGUAGUC
rnacentral:rRNA from 1 species